UACUGUUGCUAGUCUCAAAGUCGGCAAAAUGUUAAUGCUAUUAAGCUUGUGGUGAGGUCUGAUGGUUCUAGGUGCUUAGGAUAACACUAUUAUUUGUUUAAUUUCUCAUAAAAUAAAUUUCAUCAUUUAAGAAUUUCAUCUGGCAUGGGAAGCCGCCCUGUAAAGAGGAUUGUUGAUGUCUCAAAGCUUUAGAGUUAUCAAUUUCCACAGAUGGGUGUAGUUUCUAGAGAAGCGUCAGAAGGAUCCAUGGGGAAUUCCUGCAAAUAAGAAGGCAAGCGCUCAGUGUUGAUGACCAUGUGUUGGGAGCUUUCAUGGAUCAAGAGCUAGAUUGUGGACGGCUAUUUCAACUUGUUUUAGCAGUAUUCUAUUUCAAGAAAUUAAAGCUUUGACCUCGUGUUAAUUGUUGCAGUUGGUGUGUUGCUGCAAUUGGUAGUUGAUGGUUCUGCCGAUUCUUGGAUGCUUGGUAAGCUACUGCAGUAGGUUGGUGUGAUUGCUGAUAAGUAAAGGGGAUGUUACUGUUGAAAAUCAAAUGGUAUCGAACAUGUCGCUGCAACUACCUUGCACUGAAAUUAGGUUCAACAUCAGGUCUCGGUUGGGAUCUUCUCGUAUAUAUGAGCAGCAAACCCUCCGAAGAAAGGCCCGGUACCUUCAAAUCCCUGUAGUAUUCAGAAAACUUACUUAAAAGGAUCAAGAUGAUGGAUUGGAUCCGAUAGAAAAUGAAGAUUAAGUUGACAUUGAGAAUCACGCACACGUAAGGGAAAGCAGUUGAAGAUGAAAAGAUAGAAGACAUUUAAAUUAGUUUUGGAUUAUACAUUUUAGGUUUAGAUAUGAUCAAUUGGUUUUUAUUUUGAACAUAAUAAUGUAACUUUCAUAGAUCGUACAUGAAAUACAUUAGAGAGUUGUUUAUUAGUUUAACCUUCAAAAUGACAUGUGCACAUUCGUGCAAUAAAUAUUUCGGAUUCAUAAUAUUAUUAUUAUUAUUA